rnacentral:lncRNA from 1 species
UAGUUGGAUGGGCUUGGUUAGCAAGUUAAUGAUUUAAACUAUACCCUGUUUUCUUUCCCUCUUGAUUGUAACAAUUAUCUAUUUGAAUUUUUGUUAGUAAAAGUUAAGUUGAUGUUAAUAACAUGUUGAAUUUAUGUCAUGAAUGUUGAAAUGAGUGUGUUAAUUCUCUGUAAAAAAUGGUUGAGUUUAGUUAUUAUGUGAAUAUUAGUGAUGGAUGUUAGUUGGAAAGUGUGAAAAUAUUGAUUGCAAUUCUGAGUUAGUUUGGUUAUUUUAUUAUGAACUUUGAUCCACAAGCUAUUAAUUGGUUUACAAAUGUUAUGAUUUGUUGAAUGGAUAUUAAAACAUGGGAUUAUGUGUUGAUGAGUGUGAUAGUUAGUUUUCAAUUGCUUGAGCUGUUACAGAAGUGAUGUGGGGUUCUGUUAAUGAUUUUAUUUGAAUUGCUUAGAUGUGUAUGUGAAUUAUGAUGUGAUGUAUGGAUGUGAAUGUUAUGUGAAAUUAUGUGAUCAACAUACUAUUGCUUGAUCAAAACUAGGUGACAUGUUGGACUGCUAUCUCUAAGCACGUUUGUUGAUGUUGAUGUUAACUUGACUGGCUGUUGUAAUUGUUUAGUUCAUAGAAUGAUAAAUGGAAAAUGCUAUGAAUUUGGAUGAAUGCACAUGUUGACAUAUUAUGUAUUGAUGAAUUGUACACAUUGAAGAUUUAUUCAUGAAAUGUAUUUGACUUAAUGGUUUAUUGAAUGCAUGUUGCCUUAUGCUUGGAACUGGAUCAUGGCUUCACAAUGUGACAUGGAGGCAUCGUGAUGGAAAAGGCCAAAACAUGGCUUGCUUGCAUAUGAAGCAAGCUUGAAAUUCGAUUCAAAGGAGGAUAUGGGAGAAUGAAGAAUCAAAGAAUGGAAAUUUAGGACUAGGUUUAGAAAAUAAGUGAGUUGAGUUUGGUCAAAGUUGACCAAAAAGUCAACAGUUGACCAAAGUCAAAUAUUGGGCAAAGUUGCCAUUUAUUUUGUAAUUUUUGUAGGAAUGGUGUAUAUGAUAUUGUAUGGAUGUAAUGGACCUUUAUGAAUGCAAAUAGUUCUUAGGAUUUAAUGAAAGGGUCUUAUUUUCAAA